UACGUAGGGGGCAAGCGUUGUCCGGAUUUAUUGGGCGUAAAGAGCGUGUAGGCGGUCAGGUAGGUCCGUUGUGAAAACUCGAGGCUCAACCUCGAGACGCCGAUGGAAACCAUCUGACUAGAGUCCGGAAGAGGAGAGUGGAAUUCCUGGUGUAGCGAUGAAAUGCGCAGAUAUCAGGAAGAACACCCGUGGCUAAGGCGGCUCUCUAGUACGGUACUGACGCUGAGACGCGAAAGCGUGGGGAGCGAACAGG
rnacentral:rRNA from 1 species